rnacentral:rRNA from 1 species
UACGGAGGGUGCAAGCGUUAUCCGGAUUUACUGGGCUUAAAGGGUGCGUAGGUGGGUAGGUAAGUCAGUGGUGAAAUCUUCGAGCUUAACUCGGAAACUGCCAUUGAUACUAUCUGUCUUGAAUACUUUGGAGGUAAGCGGAAUAUGUCAUGUAGCGGUGAAAUGCUUAGAUAUGACAUAGAACACCAAUUGCGAAGGCAGCUUACUACACAGUCAUUGACACUGAGGCACGAAAGCGUGGGGAGCAAACAGG